UUUGUACUGAUUUUCUUUAUUGUUUAGUUUUACAUUUUUUGGAUCUAACUUGAUUGGAUUUUGACAGUUGAGAAGGCCAAGUACUCCUACAUUGUUGGGUUUCUUCUCACUGUUUCACCUGAGUCCAUUCUUCUAGUUGCUGAGCAUGCAGCUGCAAAGAACAAGGUUUGUCAUUGUGGCAGGAGGUUUCAAUAUUCAAAUCCAGUUCAUCCCUCCGUUUAUUUAACAUGCUCCCUUUGCUAGUAGUACAUUUUAAUUCUCUCUAGUCUGUUGGUGGGUUGUUUUGCAGCUUGAAGCUGCUGCAGUCAACUUAGUUGCUGGAGAGAAACCUGGCGAUGUUUACUCAGAAAUUGCUUCAAGGUAUGGUGUAUAAGUAUGUACUGUUAACAUAGGACUUUAAAUUGGGACAAACUGAACAUGAUUUUUUUCUUCUUUAUUUGCAGACUUGUAUACUUUGACAUGCCAUGUAGAUCACACUUGCCUUUAACUGUCCAGAUUUGAGCUUAGGCAACACUUCAGAAACAACCUUCUGCAUGUGGACAUGGUUCAGCCGGUUGUUACUUCCAUUUACGACUAUUUCCGAGAGGAAUGUGAUUUUUGUCUAUAAUGUAUCUCUUGGUUAUUCACUCUAUUGCUUUGGAUAAUUAAUUUUAUCUUUUCUUAUAGUUUUACUGAUAUAAAGUUCUUUAUUUAAAUGGAAUACCUGCUACGACUCAGAGUUGCACAUCAUAGAUGGGAUCCCACAGCUUAUUUUUGUUCGUUCAAGCUACAACAUAGAG
rnacentral:lncRNA from 1 species